rnacentral:rRNA from 1 species
AUUGAACGCUGGCGGCAUGCUUUACACAUGCAAGUCGAACGGCAGCGCGGGCUUCGGCCUGGCGGCGAGUGGCGAACGGGUGAGUAAUGCAUCGGAACGUGCCCAGUAGUGGGGGAUAGCCCGGCGAAAGCCGGAUUAAUACCGCAUACGACCUGAGGGUGAAAGCGGGGAACGGAAGGCCUUCCGCCAUUGGGGCGGCCGAUGUCGGAUUAGCUAGUUGGUGGGGUAAAGGCUUACCAAGGCGACGAUCCGUAGCUGGUCUGAGAGGACGAACAGCCACACUGGGACUGAGACACGGCCCAGACUCCUACGGGAGGCAGCAGUGGGGAAUUUUGGACAAUGGGGGCAACCCUGAUCCAGCCAUGCCGCGUGCGGGAAGAAGGCCUUCGGGUUGUAAACCGCUUUUGUUCGGGAAGAAAUCCUCUGGGCUAAUACCCCGGGGGGAUGACGGUACCGGAAGAAUAAGCACCGGCUAACUACGUG